rnacentral:rRNA from 1 species
CCCCUAGACGUUCUGGGCUGCACGCGCGCUACAAUAAUACGCACAGCGAGUAUCACCGAGCUCGAAAGGGCAAGGUAAACAAUAGAAAAGGUACUGUAAUGGUUAUAGAUCCUUGUAAUUAUUGAUCUUCAACGAGGAAUUCCUAGUAAGUAUGUGUCAUCAUCACGCACUGAUUACGUCCCUGCCCUUUGUACACACCGCCCGUCGCUCCUACCGAUUGGGUGAGCCGAUGAAACUCUCGGAUGUAGGCUAUUCAUAGCCCGCAGAAGAGAUUUGAAUCGUAGCGCUUAGAGGAAGGAGAAGUCGUAACG